rnacentral:rRNA from 1 species
UACGUAGGGGGCAAGCGUUGUCCGGAUUUACUGGGCGUAAAGAGCGUGUAGGCGGCCACGCAGGUCCGUUGUGAAAACUGGAGGCUCAACCUCCAGCUGUCGACGGAAACCGUAUGGCUAGAGUCCGGAAGAGGAGAGUGGAAUUCCUGGUGUAGCGGUGAAAUGCGCAGAUAUCAGGAAGAACACCAAUGGCGAAGGCAGCUCUCUGGGACGGUACUGACGCUGAGACGCGAAGGCGUGGGGAGCGAACAGG